rnacentral:rRNA from 1 species
UAAAAUUUAAUGGCCGCGGUAUUUAUGACCGUGCAAAGGUAGCAUAAUCAUUAGUCUUUUAAUUGAAGGCUUGUAUGAAUGGUUGGACAAAAGGAAAACUGUCUUCUUUUAUAAGGAUUGAAUUUAACUUUUAAGUGAAAAGGCUUAAAUAUUUCAAAGGGACAAUAAGACCCUAUAAAGCAUUGAGUUGGGGCAACAAGAGUAUAAUUAGUAACUGCUAAUGAGAUGUAUACAAGUAUAUUUGAAAUGAUCCUUAAUUAAAGAUUAAAAGAUUAAGUUACUUUAGGGAUAACAGCGUUAUUUUUUUUGAGAGUUCAUAUCGAAAAAAGAGUUUGCGACCUCGAUGUUGAAUUAAAAUUUCUAUGUGGUGCAGUUGUUAUAUAAGAGGGUCUGUUCGACCUUUAAUUUUUU